UCUCUUCAGAGCAAAAAAAAAAAAAAAAGACUGAGCUCCUCCAAAUCGAACCUUCUCUCAUCUCCCUCUCAUCGCCACAACCCCUCCAUCAUUCACAUCGCUACAGACCCAUCAUCCACAAGCACUCCAAAUCGACCUUGGACUCACCGUGGCUUCAUCGAUGGCGUCUGCUCUAUCAUUCACCAAAGUGUCCCGAGCACAUAGUCUUCCGCUUCAUCACCACGCACCACCGCUAAGCGGACCUCUGCCAUGUGAUCAACUGCAACCUAGUGAAGGGCAAGAUCUCAUACUCGAUUCGGCAGGCGUAGGGACAAAGGGAUAAGGUGAAGCUUUUGGAUGCAAAACAGUCCGCUAUAAGUGCUUAUUUGGACUGCCACUGAGGUUUAACCAAAAGAGCUAUUAUGUUGAUAGUGCUAUCUGUUUUCAGGGUGAAUCACCUGUGAGGUACGAAAAAACAGACGUAUGGGCGGUCGGUGGAUAAGUCGGGAUGAUUUGGGUUUAGAUUGAGCAACUUAUUACUGGGAAUGAAAGUUUGGCGUACAAUGCAACUUUGGGAGUAGAGAAGAAGAACUUUGGACAUCAAGUAGCAACUAUUUUAUUGGUGAUACUUGGAGAUCCAACUAGCUCUAAUGUGGUCCAAGAUUUUUAGAGAAAGUAAGGUAAGAACCUAUGAACCGAAAAUUACGAAAAUUUCAUAUCUGAACUCAUAGAAUUCAUGAGUCUAUUGCCUGGGACUUAGUUGUUAGCGAUAAUAGACAUACUUAUGACAUUGUUGGCUUG